AGAGUUUGAUCCUGGCUCAGGACGAACGCUGGCGGCGUGCUUAACACAUGCAAGUCGAGCGGAAAGGCCCUUCGGGGUACUCGAGCGGCGAACGGGUGAGUAACACGUGAGUAACCUGCCCCAGGCUUUGGGAUAACCCUCGGAAACGGGGGCUAAUACCGAAUAUUCAUGUCGUGUGGCAUCACAUGGUGUGGAAAGUU
rnacentral:rRNA from 1 species